rnacentral:lncRNA from 1 species
CCCGAGGUCAUAUCGCGAUAGGCAAAAUUCGCGUAGCAAAAAAAAAUUCUCAAAUCAACAUGUGUACCUUGUUUUUAAGUGUGUCCAAUCACACUUAGAAGCGAAAUAUCAUAUAAUAUUGCUUUAAAUCCAACGAAAAUGUGUCAUAAUAUAACAAUUCAACAUUUUUCAACAUUCAUCAACAUCAGGUUCAAACUUUCAAAACGGCUAAUACAAAAACGGAUUCCUUCGUGAAACGAAACGAAAUUUUAUUCUUCUGUGUGUAAACCUCCUUUGAACAGGAGCACAUGAUGAUAAACCCU